UACACACACGAGUCAGGUGUGUGGCUGCGGAUCUAUUAACGUUGAAUUCCAGCAAAGGAGACAGAAAUUAUUGAGGGACAGGUAGAGCAGGGUCAUUCAGAUGUACAGUGUCAGAAAGCAAAUUCAGACAGCGGUUGCCUGGAUCAACACCCAGUACUGGG